UUAGACUAAAGUUAAGAGAUCACAAUAAACAUACUAAAAGUUCAAGGACCAUAAACAUCAUUAGGCCAAAGUUCAUAAAUUACAUAUGUCAUCAUCCGAAACUUAUUAUACUUGAAAACUCAAUAGCUCACUUUUUCACUAGAUGUAUUAAGGAUUAAAUGGGCCCUUUUAUUCACCCAGGGGCCAAGACAUUGCUCUUCCGAAUGCUAUUUUCAUUUUUGAAAUUUAAGGAAAAAGUUAUUUAAUUUCGAACAAUUUUAAAUAUUUGAAGUGGUGGAUUCUAAAUUCUAAGAGCAAGAAUAUGUUUGAGAUUGUUCCCAAACCAUCCUAAUAAUAUUCUGUCUUAAAAAUCUCCUUUGAGCGUAUAAAGAAGGGUACUCUGCAGAGAAGUCAGGGUGGUCCCCUGGUUCUCCUGUUUUUAUUCCCGGAAACGAAAAUUCGCAUCGUCCUUGUCUUUUAUGGUCGUCGUCACCGAGUCAAUUCAUGGCCACAUGCAGUUACGAUCGUGCCGGCAAACAAUUACUGAUCGACAACGAUGGCCACGGUGCAUCACCUGGAGUGGCCGAGGAGUAGUCCCCUGUUUUCUUAUUCUCCCCAUGAGCUUGGAUAGAAACUAAAGUUUCCAAUCGCUCUUGCCCACGUGCGUUUUGUGUACUCGACUGCUUUGAUAGUCGAAACGUCACCAUUGUCCUCCUCACAUCAGCAGCUCUUCAUCGUCCUUCAUCCAGAGCGAAGAAGUCCGGUCCGUCCUCAGCUACUCCUAUUGAAACCUGUGCACUGUGCAGUGCCGACGUAUGGAUUAUGUGAAUUGCUUAAACAAUCCCAACCAACCCUGCUCAUGGUGGAAAAAUAGAUAAGCACUAUUUAUACAAAAAAGAAUGGUCAUCUUGAUUCAUUAGAAAUUGGACAGAUAAGCAAAUUUUGUAGAGCACUCCCCUUGUGCUUCGUUGGUGGAAGUCUCCCUAUAAAUAGGGAUGCUCUCCUUGCCAACUUGAGCAGAGCAGAAAAAGAAAAGAGUGGGGUGUGUACCAAGUGUCGUGUGGAAUAAAGAAAGAGGUGGAGAGUGUGUUUGUAUGACCGUGUUUUGUAAUAUAUGGGUCAGCUCAGCCCAUUUUCUUUUCUCCAUCAAAUUUGUGCGUGAGCGUGAGAAGCGGCAGACCGAACCAGAAGAGAGGAAAAGGAGAUGAGAGUGCGUUCGUCCAUGAAGAGAAGCAAAAGGGGGAAGAAGAGAGAAGGAAAAUUUUCAUGGGCAGCUGAUCUGAACACCUCGACUAGCUGAACCAACUAUAAACCGCAAUGCCUGGUAAGUAUUCAAGCCGAUAUUUCAUAUAAUCGAGGUAAUUUUGGAACUUAGGGCACAAAUUUAAAGUUAUAUAGAUUUUUAACUACGAUAUUUGAUUAAGGAGUUUUUGGAGCUACGAUUUUUGUGGAAAUAGUAAUAUAGUGCGUUGUGGAGCAAUAGGUUUGACGAAACUCAAUUUCAAAAUAUGGUUUGUUUGGAACGAAAUUCCAAAAUUUUGCACAUGGGUUACGCGUAACAGCAAAAGACAAACACACGCCAUAAAUGAGUUUCUUCAUGAUUUAACGUGAUUUAGUCGAGUCAUUAAUUAAACUUGUGUAAUACUCGAUUUUUAAUAUUAUUUUUCUAAUUGAUAGGAAUGUGAGUGCGGCGGACUGAGUAACCACUAAAGGUUGGUUUUCAGCUUUUUUUUCAAGUGAAUGAUACUUUUUUUGGGUUUUAUACUCAUGUUUUGAAAAACAUUAUGGAUUAAGGAUGCUAUGAGUUAAUAAAUAGCAUGCAUACAACAAGAUCGAGCUUUUACUUAGGGGUGUCAAAAACCGAACUAUUGACACCUAAAUUUUUGGGGUUGGUUUUUUGCUAAAUUAAAAAUAUAUAUAUAUAAACAUGGCAUAUAGUUUAUAAACAUUUUAUUUUUUAUUUUAGAUUGUUGGUGAAGGGAAGAUUUUUUACAUAUUCCAUUAAGAUUUUUCACAUAUAUUAUCUGGCGCAAAAAAGGAAUUUUUUGGAUAGAAUAUGUAAAAAAUAAAAAAGGGAAAUAUUGCGUGAGGUGAGUAUAUUUCAACAAUAUAUUUAGGGGUAUCAUGCUCGAACAAAAAGGAAACCCAUAUACUGCAAAGAUACGUUUUUUAGACCUAUAUAAUACCUCGCGUACAAUUUGUUUUGGGGGGUUCCUCUUUCCGUUGGGUAAGAAAAGUACACAAAGAGCAAAAAGGUGAAAGAGGGAGUGAGGUGAAAAAAUAAAUAAAUAAAUAAAUAAAAACCCCCCACGCGACUGUUCAUCUUCAUCGCCGGGGGGGGGGGGAAGUCUCUGCCGGCGCCGUCGCCGGCUGCUGAGCCACCGGCCACCCAGAGUCGCAACGCCGCUCGCCGCCCGCAGAUCUGAACAGCAGCCGGCCCAGAUCCGACGCCGCCUCCGCCGUCGAUCUUGCAGCUCGCGAAGCCCCUCGCCGUUCCUCGACGAUCUGCUGUCGUCGCCGUCCAGCAGCCCGUGACCCAGCGCCUGACUCCGCCUGCGCCGGCCAACGCCACCUGUCCCGUUCGUCCACGAACGCCUCAGCAGAUUGCCCACCGGAGACCACAUCACCCCUGCUCGCCCCCCUACCGCCGCAACGCCUCUGUCACCGUUGCUCCGCCCUCCGCCGCAGCUGCUACCCGAGCGACUCCUGUAGCAGAUCUCCCUCCGUCGUCGCGACCCGGUCCCGCCUCGCCCGAGAUCCGCGACCCGCAGUUCUCGCGCCUGCAUCCAGUAGCCAGGCCCGCGAUCCUCCUCUGCUCCGACGUCUAGUAGGCCCGAUUCGCUGCUCCUGCUCCGCUCGCGAAGUCGCCGUCGUUGCCGAGCCCAGAUCCAGACGCCGGAGCUCCUCGCCGCACAGCCCCCUCUGCCCGCGAAGACCCAACGCCGCGACCCACUUGCUCCGCCAGCAGCCGCGCCCUCGCCGGAGUUCCUCGCCGGCGUUUUCCCCUCGCCGGAGUCCGUCGCCGGCAAUCCCCCUCGCUGGAGCCCCAAACCGGCAGCCAAUUUUUUUUUUUUUUGUUUAAAAGAAAAGGAAAAAAUCAAAUUAGGUAUCUUUGCUUUAUUUUAUUAGGCAGGUUUAUUUUAUCUUUUUUUUUAUAUAUAUUUUGGUUUCUUUGUUUGAAAUAUUUCUCUAUGCAUAAUUGGAAAUCUUAAUAUAUCACCCGAUUCGUAACCGUACUAGGAUUUAACGCUUUAGAUGGAAUAAUUAAUUAAGUGGGAUAUUAUUACCUUUCACCAAAAAAAAAAAUUAAUUAAGUGGGAAUAAAAUUGAUAUUUUGAUCUCUAAGGUUUAAGAUCAAUUUAUUGAUUUUACUAGUGAAAUAUUAUCCCUUGAUCUGAACGAUGUGUGAUAUUUUUUGGAUAAUUUUGAAUGGACUUGAUUGCUUUAUUUAUCUUGAAAUAUGCCUGAGUUAGAAUAUUGUAUGUUUUAGGAUUAUUUGCAUAUUUAGGCUAAGCAUUCUAUUUAUCAUGAAUUUUUGAAAAUAAAAGAAAAAAAUCAAAAUUCAAAUCAAUCAAUUUAGGUUGGUAGUUUUAAUUUGGAUUGCAUUUAAUUUCGAAAAUUAAUAAAAAAAAAUCAUCAUGCAUAUGUUAUAUAGAAUUAGGACAUAUUUAGCACGGCAUUGCAUAUUAUGGUUAAAUUGCACUUAGUUUAAUUUUGGAUAAUAUUUUUUCUUAAUUUAUUAUAAGUUUAUGUAUUUUUUUUUAUAGAUAUAUUGCACUUUAGGAUUAUUUAGUUUAAGAUAAUGUUUUAGUUUAAAUUAGGAUCAGGCUCAACCUAAUUCCUAAUAUAAAUUAAAUAGGAUCUUAAUCUAAUUAGGUAAUUUUCACAUUUCACCAAAUUUCGAAUUUCAUGAAAAAUACAAAAAAAAAAUGUCAUAGGUUAAAUUAGUUUUAUUAUUUAGGAUGAAAUGCAUUCUUUUGAGAAAAAGAAAAAAUGUCAUAUGCACGUCAUUAGGGUUAGAUUCAUUGAUAUGCAUGUCAUUUAGUAUUUUUGCUAGGCCCAUUUAAUUAGAAAUUACAUGUCAUUGGAAUUAGGUCAUUUAGUUAAUAUUACAUUGCAUAUUGCAUGAUUUUUAUUAAUUAAGUGAAAAAAAAGAAAUUGCGUACUAAUUAGAAAUUAUAUCUAGGAUUAUUGAUGUGGAUUUUAAUUUUUGCAAUUUAUUUAUUAUUUAUUUGGGUGUUAAAUUGGUGGAUUGUGCUUUUGAUCACCUCACAUGUUAAAGAAAUAGAUUUAAAAUCAAUCCAAACUACUUGCUAAACAUUUUUCAAAAUAAAAAGAAUGGUAUCGAAAGGGCGUUAGAGAAAUCUAGCAUAAUCAAGUCCUCGAACUCAUAAAUCUCUAGUUCAUAAGAGUAAAGUAAAUCUCCUAUUACUUUACUUGGAUUUCUAAUCGACCCACCAAAAAUAAAUUCCCCGAAUUCAUAAAUCUCUAGUUCAUAGGAGUAAAGUAAAUCUCCUAUUACUUUACUUAGGUUUCUAAUUAACCCACCAAAAAUAAAUUAGUAGCGACUCCUAAUUGAAGAUCAAUUGCAUGUUAAGAACUCGUACUUAAGUCGCGAAUUGAUAUAGGUUUGGGAGAGCCCGAGUUUAAUCUAUGCUUAACAAUCCAUUAGCCAAACCCUAGGUGGUUCACUCUGAAAAUUUGGUCGCAACACGAACCGAAAAGUUCGGUUUUUUCAAUUCGGUUCUCAUUCUAUUAAGAUAAUAUUGAAAAUCAAAACUUUUUUAAUCAAUUCGAUUAACCAAACCAAACCGAUAAAAUCUAAAAUUUUAAUCCACUCUUUUCUUAAUGUUUUUAAUUUAUUUUUUUAUUUUUAAAAUUUCUUUCUCUUUAUUUCCUCUAGUCGGUUGUUCAACCUCCGACGACGGGCCAAAGGCCAUGACCGGCAAGGGUUGGCCUCAUCAACCUUAGGCAAAGUGGCCCUCACUGGGAUUUGGCAAGGGGCAACCUUGCUAGCCUCAAGCAAGGCUCGCCCUAGCCAAGUCUGGUGUGGUUGAACCUUGCCAAAGGCCAAUGAGGGUCGGCCUCGCGGGCCUUAGGUGGGGUCACCCUCAUCGGGAUCUAGCAAGGAGGGACCUCGCCUGAGGCCGGCGAGGUCGACCCUGAGGUCGGCGAGGUCGACCCUUUGUCAGUCGUGGCCUCUGGCUAGUCGCCAGAGGCUGGGCAACCGCCAAAGGACAAAAAGAAAAAAAGAGAAGAAAAAAAAAGAAAUUUAAAAUAUAAAAACAAAAACAAAAGUAAAAAACUGAAUGGAGCCAAAUCGAAUCGGAUUUCGGUUUGGUUCAGCAAAUUUUCUUAUUGGUUAGAUUCGAUUCAGUUUUCCGAAAAAACCAAACCGAACCAAACCACUUACACCCCUAACUUUUAUAGCCAUUUUAUUGUUUGAAAAGGGAAGUCAUAUUUUGACUUCAACUUGAAUGAUUGCUUAUAAAUGGUUUGUAAAACCUUUUAUAAAGGUUUCUUAAAAAAAAUUAUGAUUAAUAUGGUUUGAAAAUGUGCUUUGAUAUCUAUAUAUCGAAUACUUGAAUUGUGAAUUAGUUUAUGAAAUGGAUUUUGAAUUGGUUUGGGAAAUUCAUUUUGAUAUAUGAAAUGAUUGGAUUUGCUUUUGGAUAACUGGAGAUUGAAUUGAUGGUGUAUGCUCAGUGUCUCUAUGACUAUUGAAGGGUGUGUGGGUAUGUGCAUAUUAAUCUAGGAUAUCCUUGCAAACCGAGCCAUCAACUAAUAAUAAGUGGAGACCUAACCAAGAGAGGGAAUUUUUGUCACCUUCUCAUUAGGCAAUGUGCCGUGACCAUGGUUCAAUGGAUGGACCAUCGCCGUAUGGUUUCAUAUGAGAUGGAUCAAUGGGAUAAACUAUUGAUAUGUGGCAUGAGAUUAAUCAAUAGAAUGGAUCAUUAACAUGUAUUUUUUUAUGAGAUUGAUCAAUGGGCUGGACUAUUGGUGUUUGCUUGUUAUUAUCUUGAAUAUUUCUACUUUGAACAUAUUAUGUUAAAGUAAGAAAUAUUGUAUUUUGGUCUUGAAGGUUUGUUAAAUCUCUAGAUUUGGCGAAAAUGAGUUAUAUUUGUAUUUUAAAUAUGCAUAGUGAUUACUUGAUUCGGCGAAAAUGAGUUAUAUUUGUAUUUUAAAUAUGCAUAGUGAUUACUUGAUUCGCUUGAAAAAACAUUUACUCAUUAGGCCAUGGUAGCUCAUUAAUUUCUUAUUAUCAUAUUUUUCAGGUGCCUCAGUUAGUGGCUGAUAGAACAAGGGCAUUAUUGCGGGAAUUAUUCGAAGUCGGAUAUUUGGGGUAUACUUUGAGGCUGCGUCUUUUGGAGAAAAUAUGGCCGUGUCACUCCUUCAUCCCUAUAGGAUUUGGGGCGUGACAUAUUUAGUGUCUCUUGCUUGUAAUAUCAAGAAUGUUAUUGUGAGUUAGUUUCCACUUGAUCUUCUACAAGUAAUAUCGGAGUGACGCCACACAACUCAACAUAUAAUUGAUGCUUGUGCUUUAGCAUCAGCUCAAUUGGCUUGUAGCUAGUCAUCCCCAAAGAGUUCUUGACGAAACGAAGUUUAACUUACCCAUAAAAGAGAAAAUUGAUAACUUCAUCUCUUAUCUCUAACAAAGAAAAAUUCUUUUAUUGUUUAUCAACUUUUGUUUACCUAUCUUACCAACUCAUAUAAAAAAAUUAGCAAUCUUUUUUAUUUAUGUGGUUUAGAGAAAUCUUCUUCAAUUAAAUUAUCAACUAAUUUUGCGUUACAAACUUCUAUGCAACUAGUUAACCAAGUAUCAUAUGUUCUUUCUUAAUUUACUUACUUUUCUCCUUAGUUUGUCACUUUUAUAUGAACUUCUUGGAAAUAAUAUAUAUAUAGAAAUUAUCAAUCAAGUAAUUAUCAGCUUUUCUCUCAUCAAGUUCUCAACUAAUCAACUCUUAUUUGAGUUAGACAUCAACAUUUAUUUUUUUCCCAUUAAAUUACCCUUAUAUCGAAAAUGCACAAUCUAGAGAGGUUGGAACAAUUUCGGCCUAUCAGCCUUGUAAUUUUGCUUAUAAAAUCAUCUCAAAGAUCUUGGCAAAUAGAUUAAAAUAGUGGCUACCUAACUUGAUAGCAACGGAGCAAAGUGUUUUUGUAAGCGGGAGACAAAUACAAUAUAACAUACUAAUAGUGCAGGAAGUGCUUCAUUAGCUACGUAUCCAAAAACAAAACAAAAAAAACAAAAAAGAAAUUUCAUGCAAUCUGAAGGUAGAUAUGAAGAAAUCAUAUGAUCGUGUGGAAUGGGAUUUUCUCAAAGCAAGCAUGCUCAAAAUGGGUUUCUGUAAUACUUGGGUCUCCUGGGUCAUGGAACGUGUCUCUGCGGUAUCAUUCAAUAUUAAAAUAAACGGGGAACCUUUAGCCUCUUUUAAGCCUACUCACAGUAUAAGACAAGGCGACCCCAUAUCUCCAUACCUAUUUAUUAUUGUGGCAAAUGUUCUAUCUAUGAUGUUGAAAAGAGAAAUGGAAAAUGGCAGUAUUAAGGGAAUUACACUGAACAGAUUUUGUCCAUCAUUAUCUCAUCAACUGUUUGCGAAUGAUUCUUAUUCUUGGAAGGAAAAAUGGUCGAAUGUCAAAAUGUAACUAUAAUCCUAAACCAAUAAUGCUUUGUGUCUAGACAAGCUAUAAAUUUGAACAAGUCAGGCACGCUCUUUAGUAAAGAUUGUCCAAGAGAACUGAGGAGUAACUUGACUAAAUAAAUGAGAGUACCAACUCUGGGAAAGUUAGGGAAAUAUCUCGGAAUACCUUCUGAUUGGGGUGGAUCUAAAAAGUAAAUGUUCGACUCGAUUCUUGCAAGAAUCAACAUGAAACUGGAGGGCUGGAAAGAGAACUUUUUAUCAAAGGCAGGGAAAGAAUUCUUCUUAAAAUUGUGGUGCAAGUUCUAUAGCAAUAUGCUAUGUCCAUUUUAAAAUCCCCCUAUCUAUUUGCCGAGCCAUUGAAAGAAAAAUAGUAGCUUUUUGGUGGAAAAAUAAUGAGAACAGGGCAGGUUUCCAUCGGAGAAACUAGGGCACUCUUAAAUCAAGAAAGAAUGAAGGUGGGCUAGGCUUUUGAGAUUUAAUCAAAUUCAAUGAGGCAUUAUUGGGUUGGCAAGCAUGGAGGCUAAUUUAGAAUCUGAAUUCUCUUUGGAGUCAAAUUUUCAAAGGACUAUACUUUCCGCACAUAGAUGCAUUAUAUGCAGAGAAAGGCUUAAGACCAUCUUGGGGUUGGCAAAGUCUAAUCUUGGGGAAAAAACGCUAUAAAUCAUUCAUCCCAGUGGGUGGUUGGGAAUGGAGAAAAAAUCAGCAUUAGGAAUGAUCAGUGGUUACCGAGAGGUUUAUUUGGAGGACUUACGAAUAGAGAUGAUCCAUUAUGACUUUCGGAACUUAUAAAUAGAGACUUUGCUACCUAGAAGGAAGACAGUGUGACAUCCUGAAAUCUAGGUUCUGCUUUCGAUCGAAAUAGUUGGGCAUUUCAUCGACGCAUUUAUAGUUCUUUUCCCUGAACUGAUCACUCAUGGGAUAACUAGUUUAUCGGGUGAAGCCGUUAAGGAAUUUUAACGCAUUAGACUUGAGAAUUCGAUCAGGAAACGACUGCUCGACCGUGCAAAUCUACAAGAGAUCAUUACGACACAGUGAGAUCGAUUAGAAAUCGGAUAUAGGUUGACUCGACAAAGGUAUGUGAUUAAGUGUGGGUGAUUCCACCUAAUUGCACAAUUCUUGUCGAUCGGUACUAGACCGAUUAUUCUGUCGUUUCGAUACCCCGUGUCCGUAUUUGAAACCUUGAGAUUUCUACGACAAUUGAGAGUCGCCAAUGUAUCGAAGAUGUACAUUGUGGCUUGAGAAUAAUCAACCACGGGUCAAAUGCAAGAAAAUUUCCUAAAAGCUACCCGGUAGAUUAGGACGCACUAAAUUCGCGUCGAAUUGAAAUUAACCGUGAAAUCGAACCCGAAUUCAGAAAUUGAGAAUUCUGUCAAGUCACAAUUCAUUUUAGGAACGUCGACUCAUCUCCGGAAGAUUUUUUCUACAACCGAGAUUUUUGGCGGAAAACUAAAGUAAUGCCGUUUUUGUUCGAGAUUGUCAAAGGGCCGUUUUUGAUCUAAUCUUUGGAAAGCAAGUUGGAUCAUUUGAUGGGGAAAAGUCAUAAGAAGGUUGAGGACACAUGGGUUAAUUUAAUUGAGCUUCAAUUGGAUGGAAUUGAUUGNNNNNNNNNNNNNNNNNNNNNNNNNNNNNNNNNNNNNNNNNNNNNNNNNNNNNNNNNNNNNNNNNNNNNNNNNNNNNNNNNNNNNNNNNNNNNNNNNNNNNNNNNNNNNNNNNNNNNNNNNNNNNNNNNNNNNNNNNNNNNNNNNNNNNNNCCCCCCCCCCCCCCCCUUUUCCUCUCUCUCCUCCCUCUUUCUUCCCCGUCGCCCCCUUCCUUCCCCUCUCUUCUUGCUCGACGGAACCGAGCAAACCAGCGAAGCUGGAGGAGUCGCCGCCCCUCGCCGCCGUUCGCCGCUGCGUGCCGUCGGAGCAGCCGCGCCCUGGCCGCUCGCCCUCCGUCUCCCCCUUUCCUCUCCCAUCGCGGUCUCUCUCCUCCACCUCUGGUUCUUGCUCGAAGACCCAGCGGAUCUGAGGACGCCGGAGCAGCCAGCUAGCUGCUGGACCGCCGCCUCACGCCUCCGCCCUCCACCGUUCGCUGCCGAGCUGCACGCCGUUGCCUCGGCGCUGCCCCGCUCGUCUCGGCCUCCCUCUCGCCCAGCUCUCAGUUUCAGCGAGCUGUCCAGCUCGUCCCAGCUGCUGUGGACCACCGCCGGAGCUCCUACCGCCACCGCCUAGGUCUGGUUCGGCCUCCUCCGUCCAUCUAAGCCCUUGCAUGUCUCAACCGAGCUUGGAUCAGCCUCUUUCUCGGCCUCAACCAGCAGCGAACGGGGAGGAGAAAAAUGGGUAUGGCAGCGGCUUCGUGGCCCGUUUUGGCCGGCUUCCCGACCCCGGAAGCUAGGCCCGCUUUGGAGUGAAUCGAUCCCCUCGGCGUCCCCGUCGAUUUGAGCCGCUCGGAUCGCUAAUCGGGUGAGUUUAACUCACUAAUCCCCGCUUAGUAGAUUAAUCACGUUUAAGGGGUGUUUAGAUUAAACUAAGUAGGUUUAGGUGGUUAGAUUAGUUUAUUUAAAUGUUAAGUGGAUUAAGGGAUGUGAUUAGUUUAGUGGACAAUUAAUUAAAGUUAAGAAAAUGUUUGGAUUAAAGUAAUCUUGUUUAAGCCUUAAUUAAUUAUUUUAAAUUAAAUAAUUAAUUCGAAAUUGUACUAUAAUAAUAAUAUAAUAUAAUAUUAUUAUAUUUACUUUUCGGAAUAAAUUUAAUUAUUUAUUAUUUUCCGGAAAUUUUGAUCGGGAUUGUCGGUGACCGGAAUUUUAUGCUGAUGAUCGUGGUGAAGUCCGUUUGUUUAAUUGAGCUCCGAUUUGAGCUAAAUUGAAUUUAUUGUAAUUAAUUAUUAAAUUUCGAAAUUAAUUAAUAAUUAAUUAAAAUUCGGAAAUUAAGAUUUAGAAGGCCGACGACCGAAAUUCCGUGCUGAUUAUCUUAGUGCAGUCCGUUUAUUUAUUUGAGCGUUAAUUUGUGCUGAAUCGAAUUAAUUGUGAAUUUAGGAUUUAUUCUUAAAUUAUCUGAUUUUGGUUUAGUGAUGGAGAAAUAACCGGGCGUCGGUUUACAGCGCCAAAAAGAUGUAAUGGGCUAAUGAAAUCGGUGGGAUAUCUUUAAGUAAAAUUAUUAUAUUUUGGCUAAGGCCAACCGUGUACCCACACACGGCUAUUUAUCGUGAAUGAUAAAAAUGAUGAAUUGACUAUAUGGUUGGAGUGGUAUAUUAUAUCGGCCUUCGGGCGAUAUGUCAGCUUUGGGUGAGCAGUAUACCGGUAUACUAUAUUGACCUACGGGUGAUAUGUCAACUUUGGGUGAGCAGUAUACCUUAUUAUCAGCUUUGGGCGAGCAUAUAUAGUAUACUAAAUUGGCCUGGGGGCCCUAAUUUAUCAGCUUUGGGCGAGCAUAUACAUAGUAUACUAUAUCUAUCAGCUUUGGGCGAGCUAUGCUAUCUAUUAUCAGCUUUGGGUGAGCAGUUAUAGACUAUGGUCGGACUUUAUAGAUAGUAUUGAAUGUACCGGCCAGGGAAAGGUCGUGGUGACAUGUAAUCGAUUAAGUCGAUUGAUCGCUGAGUCGAUCUGAUUGGUGGAAUGUAAUUGUUUGCUGUAGUUAUCGAUAUUAUUAGUUGAACUAAAGUGCAGGAAAGGAACUGAUGCCAAGGUAAGCCCUUUGACCUGUGUUGUGCUUAGGCAGCCCUUAUGGCGUAUUGGCUUCCUAAUUGGGUCUUAGUGGGGUAGAACUCGCUGAGACAUAGUCUCAUCCCAGUUUGGGGAAAAAUAUUUCAGGUUCCUAGAUGACGAUCGUGGAGGACCGGAAGUCCUGAAGUUCGGAAGGUGGAGGCUGAAGAAUCGGCAAAUGGGUCUGACUAGUGGAUGUUAAGACAGUCCCCUUUUUGAUAAGCCGUUAAUUUUGUAAACAGCCUAAGUUUGUAAUUAACCAGUUUGCUUAUAAAGACUCGUCUUGGGUUGAAAAAUAUGAUCCUACUCUUCUAUCCCAUUGUUUGAUUGUCUGGGGAUUUUAUUAAGCUUCCGCAUGCGUAUAUAAAUGAAUGGGUCGGCGACCUUCCUGGGACGUCGCAAAUAAAUCGACCGAGUAAGGGAUGGGCGCGCGCCCGAGGAUCGGGGCGUGACAGACAGAGUACUAGAACUUUUUUACCACAAAGUGUCUAAAGAAAUUCUAGCCAUCCACCUUAACCCCCAAUUUUCAGAGGACAAAUUGGUAUGAAAGCCAACAAAAAUAGGCCAAUUUACAGUCAAGACUGCAUAUAAGAAGGUUAAGGCACGAGGAGAAAUUCAAAAGCAAAACCAUGCCUCGUCGUCUUAUCAAGUACCACAAUCAUUGUGGAACAGAAUAUGGAAUGCCCAAAUUCAACCCAAAGUCAGAUCAUUCCUACGGCAAAUUUGUCAAAACACAUUAGCAACAAAGGAGAAUUUAUAUCAUAGACAUAUUAUACCUAAGGCCACAUGCAUGAUCUGCAACAAAUAUCCAUAAUCGGUCGAGCAUCUCUUCCUACUCUGACCAUGGACAAACCAAAUCUGGGAUGGCGCUAAAGUGAAAAUACAAAAAGAUGGUCACAGGGUAACUCAAAUAGAGGAAGGGCUGGCAAAAUUUCAACAUACCUCAGUUAACUAGCCCUCUUACUAUGGCAGAUCUAGAAAUCCCGCAACGAUUGGUGUUUUAGAGCUAAACCAUUGAGUCCUCAGCACAUAAUCACCUCAGCAACGGCCAUGGAAGAAAACUUCAAUAGGUGGGUGGGAAAACUGACCAAAAUGCGGACUUCCCCAACUCAGAUCUGGACUCCUUCGACGCACGACUCACCUUAGACCUGGACUCCUUCGACGCACGGCUCGCCUCAGAUUUGGACUCCUCCGACGCUCGGUGUGCUCAAAAUCAACUUCGAUGGUUCUUUUUUUUCAAGAAACAAGGGAAGCAGCUGUAGCUUGCGUUUGCCGAGAUAGCAUAGGCGUCCUCGUCGAUGGACUAGCACGCAUUGUUAGAGCUUCUUCAGCAAUCUAGGCAGAAGAAGCACAAGCUGUGUUACAAACCCUAAAGUACUUUGAAGGGAAAGAAGAACUGCAGAUGGAGUUGGAGUUAGACAACUUUGAACUGGCGAAGGCUUUGGUGGAAAGUACACUGCAGGUCAACUGGGAAAUAAAUGCGUUGAUAUUUGAAGUGUAGGCACAUGUUAAAACUUUCCCAAAUCUGAAAAUAACUCAUUACCGAAGAAAAUGCAACAAAGUGGCGGACUGGGUCAUCAAGGCCCAUCGGAGGAAGGCCCUUCCAGCUAAUUGGGUUUUUUUAUCCCCUUCUUGUCUUUUGGACUUGUAAUGUUCUAAAGUUUGUGAUUCUACUACUCAGACUCUUACUUAAAUGAGAAUGCUAUAAACCCUUUCUCGACUAAAAAAAAAAAAUGCGUACCCGAGUAUUUGCGGUGUCAUGUCGUCCGUCUACAUAUGAUCAGCUACGUGGGCGGGUGAUAUCUACUGAAGUGCCCGCUCGCUCGAGC
rnacentral:lncRNA from 1 species